AGCUCCUGUGUUUAGGCAGAGUCUUGUCAGCUCUGCCAGCACAAAGGGCUCCUUACGUGAAGAGUGUAGGAAUAACUCGACUGUGAUAGACAACAUAAUAGAGCUCUGGGAAUGUCACAAAGCACAGUGCCAACAGCCUGUCCCACAGAGCAUAUCAAUCCCUCACAGCAACGAGAGGACAGGCUGCAAAAGAAAGAAUUAAAUUAAAUCACGGCUCUAUAAGGGUGGAAGUGAAAACUGUCCUCAUGUUUGAGUUUUAUGUCAUUGCAAGCAUAGAAAGGGGCAGAAAGCAAUGAAAUGUAUUAAAUCCAGCAUAUCUUUGUGUUUAUGGUUUCUGUCAUGGUGCCAGUUUGGAGCCAGAUUCACAUUAGAAAGCUCAUCUACUCCAUCCAGUUAUGCUGGGACAGUCUUUGCACAAGAGGUCUCAGAAGAUAAACUAAUCUCAAGGCACCAGGCAGAUAUUACACCAUGAGCAACAAACCCCCAGCCACCUCUGACUCAAGUUUCUAUUUCUAAAGACAAAUAAAUCCACCCCUCACCAUUA